rnacentral:rRNA from 1 species
AGUGAACGCUGGCGGUAGGCCUAACACAUGCAAGUCGAACGGCAGCACAGUAAGAGCUUGCUCUUACGGGUGGCGAGUGGCGGACGGGUGAGGAAUACAUCGGAAUCUACUUUUUCGUGGGGGAUAACGUAGGGAAACUUACGCUAAUACCGCAUACGACCUACGGGUGAAAGCAGGGGAUCUUCGGACCUUGCGCGAUUGAAUGAGCCGAUGUCGGAUAGCUAGUUGGCGGGGUAAAGGCCCACCAAGGCGACGAUCCGUAGCUGGUCUGAGAGGAUGAUCAGCCACACUGGAACUGAGACACGGUCCAGACUCCUACGGGAGGCAGCAGUGGGGAAUAUUGGACAAUGGGCGCAAGCCUGAUCCAGCCAUACCGCGUGGGUGAAGAAGGCCUUCGGGUUGUAAAGCCCUUUUGUUGGGAAAGAAAAGCAGCAGGUUAAUACCCCGCUGUUCUGACGGUACCCAAAGAAUAAGCACCGGCUAACUUCGU